CACAUUAUGACUUAUAAGUCGCUCUGGAUAAGAGUGUCUGCUAAAUGACGUAAA
rfam:Salmo salar isolate Sally breed double haploid chromosome ssa12, whole genome shotgun sequence.